GCGCGAGAGAUCCCCUGCACCAAGGGCACUGGAGAAAGGUAUGUGCUGAAGGGGUUUUAAACACACACAUUCACGAACAGAAGCAUACACACUAGCUAACAGACACACAUUUACUGACAGACACACACUCACUGACAGACACACAUACACACUCACUUGCAAAACAAACACUCUCACUGACAAACACACACUGACUAACAUACACC